UGGUCUUGACAUCCUGCGAACUUGGUAGAGAUACCUUGGUGCCUUCGGGAGCGCAGUGACAGGUGCUGCAUGGCCGUCGUCAGCUCGUGUCGUGAGAUGUUGGGUUAAGUCCCGUAACGAGCGCAACCCUUGUCCUUAGUUGCCAGCGGUCCGGCCGGGAACUCUAGGGAGACUGCCGGUGACAAACCGGAGGAAGGUGGGGAUGACGUCAGGUCAUCAUGGCCCUUACGGCCAGGGCUACACACGUGCUACAAUGGGGCGCACAGAGGGCAGCAAGCGCGCGAGUGCAAGCGAAUCCCUUAAAACGCCUCGUAGUCCGGAUCGGAGUCUGCAACUCGACUCCGUGAAGUCGGAAUCGCUAGUAAUCGCAGAUCAGAAUGCUGCGGUGAAUACGUUCCCGGGUCUUGUACACACCGA
rnacentral:rRNA from 1 species